rnacentral:rRNA from 1 species
UACGGGGGGGAGCAAGCGUUGUUCGGAUUUACUGGGCGUAAAGGGCGCGUAGGCGGCGUGACUAGUCACUUGUGAAAUCUCCGGGCUUAACUCGGAACGGUCAAGUGAUACUGUCGUGCUAGAGUACAGAAGGGGCAACUGGAAUUCUCGGUGUAGCGGUGAAAUGCGUAGAUAUCGAGAGGAACACCUGCGGCGAAGGCGGGUUGCUGGGCUGAUACUGACGCUGAUGCGCGAAAGCCAGGGGAGCGAACGGGG